GUUCGCUACCCGUAAUCUUAAUUCUCGACUGGUUUGGCUAUUCGAGCGCCAAAAACAACCAGAAGUUCCCAACUUUUUAAACUUACAUUAUGAACGAACAAAUCGAACAUCAGCAGUCAAUAAUUUCUACCGAAAAAAGAACCGACCCGGAGUCUUCAUGGCUGGAUCCUCCAAGUUGGCAAACGGACUCUUCUCUCCCUCCAGCUGAUUUAGUUUAGUUCUACUUUUAAUGGCUUACUGUGUAGCUAUCAUCUUUCGUUGUGCUUCAGGAUUGGGUCAUCCCAUCCGUGCUGAAUAUAGAGGCCGCCUAACGAGACUUAAUUGAGUCUUCUUCUGAUACUUAUACGGACUCUUCUGAGUUUGGGAUAUCUGAAACUGAAUGAAGCAGUCUAUUGGGUGGUGAGGAGCCAGCUUUGGUGAUCAAGAAGUCAUGUAUUGAGUCGUGCAGCGUGUUGAUUUUGACAAGUAUCUGUCGGGAGAAAAAUCUGAUUAUGACUUUUGAGUAUGAAGUUCUCUCUGCGGGAUCAGCUGAACCAUGGUAUGGCACAGAUGGAGGAUGUGUUUCUGCGAAUGUUACUAGUACUGUUUCAGACAUAGGGGGAGCAAAAUUAUCAUGGUGGGAAAAAUUUGGCGAGCAGCCAUCUGCAUCAAUGGUAGAGUUGCAGGAUGAUAUAAAAGUGAUAACCAACACAAGAUCCUAGCAAGGGCACAUAACCAAAUGAGGUUAUAUCUUUUGAAUUUAAGGAUUUAGAUAAGUUGAUGUCUGAAAUUGGAAAUACUCGUGGCAACUUGAGGCUUUAUGCCUGAUUUUCAAAGGAGAGAAAUGGCAGCAGGAGUGGCCAUGAAAAUGGCUGCCAUGUUCUGUGGCGGCAGUGAUGAUGAAGAGGGCAUUAAUUGAUAAAAUAGAUGUCAAUUUUUGGAUCGAGUACUUUGAUACUUUUAUUCUUUGAAUACCACUAUCUGUGAUUUUGGAUGUUUAAUAUCAGUUCAUUCUUUAUACAAGAUAAAUAAAUGAGCUUUUUGAAA